UUUACGUUUAAUAAAAGAAUGGCGCUAUGGUAAUUGUAGUUUUAUGUGUAUUGUCACGACAAAAAGUCUUCUUUACGGCAUACAGUAAACUACAAACACGCAGGCGCAGUUUGUUGACCUUCUUUUGCUGUAAAGCAUGGCUGCCCGGGCGCUUACAAAAGGUCUGUUGGGGUUGCGGCAGGUUCGGGGUGCCACCGUUAAAUUCUCCAACACAGGACAUCACUUUGCCACUUCGUCCUCCAUUAAAUCAUCUGAACCUCAAACUAACGCUGUCACAGAAAAAAUCUUGAAUCUGCACCUUGAGAAACCGGACCUUUUCCGUGUGUCGGAACUUUUCUCCUUAAAGGACUUGUUCGAUGCCAGAGUACAUCUUGGACACAAGAAAGGCUGCAGGCACAGGCUCAUGGAACCAUAUUUGUAUGACUCCAGUUUAGACUAUGAUAUCAUUGAUCUGGAUAAAACAGUGGAGCACCUCCGGCUGGCUCUGAACACCACAGCUGAAACUGCGUACCGCGGUGGCAUCAUCCUCUUCGUCAGCCGCCGCCGCCAGUUCUGCCACCUGGUGGAGACCACAGCCAAGGACUGUGGGGAGUAUGCACAUACGCGGUACUGGCAGGGGGGCCUUCUCACCAAUGCUCACAUCCAGUACAGCCCAGGGGUCCGCUUGCCUGACCUCAUCAUCUUCCUCUCCACUCUGAACAACGUGUUCCAGCAGCACGUUGCUAUCAGAGAUGCUGCCAAGAUGAACAUUCCCACGAUCGGCGUGGUGGACUCGAACUGCAACCCCAGCUUGAUUACGUACCCCGUGCCAGGGAAUGAUGACACUCCGGUUGCCAUGGAGCUCUACUGCCGCUUGUUCAAGAUGACCAUCAACAGAGCCAAAGACAAACGGAGACAGAUGGAGCUCCUUCAUGGCCUGUCAGAACCCUCAGUGUCCAGCUCAUGAUGUACUUUUCAGCAAGAGAUGUGGUUCAAAAAACACAGCAGCGUGUUGGAUUACAUCCUCUGCCGCAAAUAAUAUGCUCUUUGUAAGCACGAUCCAGCUUCCCGACAACUCUGACCAGUUUCCCUGUCCCUGCUAAAGAAGAGCAUCCCCACAGGAUUAUACUACCACCACUGUAUUUUACCAUAGAAAAGGAAAAUGUGUGGUGAACAGAUGCAUUGCUUUACCCUCAUGGGAACUACGGAAGCUGAUGUCACAUAACUGCGUUUCACUGAACGGUUACUGUCUUCACUAAGCAGAGAUGGAUCAUUCGGUUAGGACAACCUAGGCCAGAGGAGCAUCAGGACAGAUGUACUUCCAAAUGCAAUUUACUUCUGGUAAGAGUCCUUUGAAAGCAGCAGUGGAGGGUUUUUUUCCUAUUGGAGAUUGAACGCUUUGCAUCUGCAAGUUUUCAGUCAGUUAAAACAUUGCUUGUUCAUAAAACACUUAAAAACUAAACGACUGGACUUUAGUUCUUGUAGUUAAAGACAUUUUGCUCUUCAUCCAAAGGCCUUACUCAAUUUAGUGAGGGGGAGAAGUUCCAAGCUUUUAAGCUGUGACCAAAUUAUCUCUCAGUGAUCCAGGUUAACAACGGCACAAACGAACAGUUCACAAGUCUUGAAACUUCUCCCUAACUAGCUUCAAAUUGAAAAAGCAUUAUAUUUCAGGAGAUUCCACAUACAUUUCCUAUUAGAAACAAAUUAACAUAAUUUGAAAUCUAAAUCUUUCAGCUGUAUGAAUAAUUUUGAUCUUAACUAAUUGUUGGGUUGUAAAGUUACAGUAAUAGUAAAGCUUUGUAACUGGGCGUCAUGUAGCUUUUCUGUGUCAUCUACACAUAAGGUUCUUAACCUUAACUCAACCAGUAGGACACACAUUAGAACCCAAUGUUUUGCUGUUUUUUUAUGCGUUUGUCUUUUUUUUUCUUUCUCUAUAAAACUGUGUAAAGCCAAAGAUUUACAUUGUUUUAAUACACUGCCUGGCCAAAAAAAACGUCGCCACCUGGAUUUAA